rnacentral:rRNA from 1 species
UAGCUAGUUGGUGGGGUAAGGGCCUACCAAGGCGACGAUCGGUAGCUGGUCUGAGAGGAUGACUAGCCACACUGGAACUGAGACACGGUCCAGACUCCUACGGGAGGCAGCAGUGGGGAAUAUUGGACAAUGGGGGCAACCCUGAUCCAGCAAUGCCGCGUGUGUGAAGAAGGCCUGAGGGUUGUAAAGCACUUUCAGUGGGGAGGAGGGUUGAUAGGUUAAGAGCUGAUUAACUGGACGUUACCCACAGAAGAAGCACCGGCUAACUCCGUGCCAGCAGCCGCGGUAAUACGGAGGGUGCGAGCGUUAAUCGGAAUUACUGGGCGUAAAGGGUGCGUAGGUGGUUGAUUAAGUUAUCUGUGAAAUUCCUGGGCUUAACCUGGGACGGUCAGAUAAUACUGGUUGACUCGAGUAUGGGAGAGGGUAGUGGAAUUUCCGGUGUAGCGGUGAAAUGCGUAGAGAUCGGAAGGAACACCAGUGGCGAAGGCGGCUACCUGGCCUAAUACUGACACUGAGGCACGAAAGCGUGGGGAGCAAACAGGAUUAGAUACCCUGGUAGUCCACGCUGUAAACGAUGUCAACUAGCUGUUGGUUAUAUGAAAAUAAUUAGUGGCGC